GAAUGUGAGGGCAAUCUGACUGCGACAUCUGUUACCCCAUUCAUCACCAGGGUUGAUUCAGCUGAUCUGACUGGCUAGGUGGUGUCCCCUUCCUCCCUCACCACUCCAUGUGCGUCCCCCCAAGCUGCACGCUUGGUUGAAGAGGACGACCUUCCCUGAUAGGAGGACCAUCCUUCAGUCAAGGGUAUAUGAGUAGCUGCACUCCCCUGCUAGAACCUCCAAACAAGUCUCAAGGUCAAAAUAAAGGUGAUCUAACAGAAUGUGGAAAUGUAAAAAAUAUAUCAUUAAUAUCACAUGCAAGUACAAUUUUGCUGAAAAUAAGUUUAAAAUG
rnacentral:snRNA from 1 species